ensembl:snoRNA
CAGCAAGCCUUCCAGCGUGGCGGGGUCUGCCGUGACCCCGGUCAUUCCUGUAGCGCUUGCCAGAGCAACCCCGGGAUGGUUUGAGGCCUCUCUCUGCCCUCCUCGGGGGGAGGCUAUAGAAAUCUCGGACAUGC